rnacentral:rRNA from 1 species
AGGUUAAGUUAACAAGGGCGCAUGGUGAAUGCCUUGGCACUAGGAGCCGAUGAAGGACGGGACUAACACCGAUAUGCUUCGGGGAGCUGUACGUAAGCUAUGAUCCGGAGAUUUCCGAAUGGGGUAACCCAGCAGUUUUAAUCAACUGUUACCACUAGAUGAAUUCAUAGUCUAGUUGGAGGUAAACGCUGUGAACUGAAACAUCUCAUUAGCAGCAGGAAUAUAAAGAAAUUUCGAUUCCCUAAGUAGCGGCGAGCGAACGGGGAACAGCCCA